rnacentral:rRNA from 1 species
UGGGGAAUAUUGCACAAUGGGGGAAACCCUGAUGCAGCAACGCCGCGUGAGUGAUGACGGUCUUCGGAUUGUAAAACUCUGUCUUCAGGGACGAUAAUGACGGUACCUGAGGAGGAAGCCACGGCUAACUACGUGCCAGCAGCCGCGGUAAUACGUAGGUGGCAAGCGUUGUCCGGAUUUACUGGGCGUAAAGGGAGCGUAGGUGGAUAUUUAAGUGGGAUGUGAAAUACUCGGGCUUAACCUGGGUGCUGCAUUCCAAACUGGAUAUCUAGAGUGCAGGAGAGGAAAGUAGAAUUCCUAGUGUAGCGGUGAAAUGCGUAGAGAUUAGGAAGAAUACCAGUGGCGAAGGCGACUUUCUGGACUGUAACUGACACUGAGGCUCGAAAGCGUGGGGGGCAAACAGGAUUAGAUACCCUGGUGGUCCACGCCGUAAACGAUGAAUACUAGGUGUGGGGGUUGUCAUGACCUCCGUGCCGCCGCUAACGCAUUAAGUAUUCCGCCUGGGGAGUACGGUCGCAAGAUUA